rnacentral:rRNA from 1 species
AUUGAACGCUGGCGGCAGGCCUAACACAUGCAAGUCGAACGAGUGGCGGACGGGUGAGUAAUGUCUGGGCAACUGCCUGGUGGAGGGGGAUAACUACUGGAAACGGUAGCUACUUCACCAUACCAGCGGCUGUGCCCAGAUGGGAUUAGCGAGUAGGUGGGGUAAAGGCUGACCUAGGCGACGAUCCCUAGCUGGUCUGAGAGGAUGACCAGCCACACUGGAACUGAGACACGGUCCAGACUCCUACGGGAGGCAGCAGUGGGGAAUAUUGCACAAUGGGCGCAAGCCUGAUGCAGCCAUGCCGCGGGUAUGAAGAAGGCCUUCGGGUUGUAAAGUACUUUCAGCGGGGAGGCGUUACCCGCAGAAGAAGCACCGGCUAACUCCGUGCCAGCAGCCGCGGUAAUAC